UGGGGAAUUUUGGACAAUGGGCGAAAGCCUGAUCCAGCAAUGCCGCGUGUGUGAAGAAGGCCUUCGGGUUGUAAAGCACUUUUGUCCGGAAAGAAAUCCUUGGCUCUAAUACAGUCGGGGGAUGACGGUACCGGAAGAAUAAGCACCGGCUAACUACGUGCCAGCAGCCGCGGUAAUACGUAGGGUGCAAGCGUUAAUCGGAAUUACUGGGCGUAAAGCGUGCGCAGGCGGUUUGCUAAGACCGAUGUGAAAUCCCCGGGCUCAACCUGGGAACUGCAUUGGUGACUGGCAGGCUAGAGUAUGGCAGAGGGGGGUAGAAUUCCACGUGUAGCAGUGAAAUGCGUAGAGAUGUGGAGGAAUACCGAUGGCGAAGGCAGCCCCCUGGGCCAAAUACUGACGCUCAUGCACGAAAGCGUGGGGAGCAAACAGGAUUAGAUACCCUGGUAGUCCACGCCCUAAAACGAUGUCAACUAGUUGUUGGGGAUUCAUUUCCUUAGUAACGUAGCUAACGCGUGAAGUUGACCGCCUGGGGAGUACGGUCGCAAGAUUAAAAACUUAAAGGAAUUGACGGGGUCAUAGCUGUUUCCU
rnacentral:rRNA from 1 species